AAAGAAUGGCCCUAUAUCCACCAAACCCCAAGUCAUUAAAACCCAUAAAACCAACAAACUCAUACAGCCCAAUCGGCCCAUAAGGCUAGUAGGCCCACUAACGAACUAUUAUUAUUUUUAUAUUUGGAAAGAUUAGGGAAGGGGACUCUCAGAAAUAGAAGACCUUAUGGCUAUGUUUGUUACCGUUUUCAAAUUCUUUCCACAUUUCCCCAAAAUGAAAAUUAUUUGUCUACACUAUUUUAAAAAACUUUCCCCAAAACAAAUUCAAAUAUUUCUCUCUCUAACAAACAUGAUUUGACCGCUACAGUGAAAAUUGUCUUCACUAAAAUACAAAAUCAAAUCACUUUAUCUUUUAAAUUCUUCUUCCAAAAUACCUUUUUCCAACACCUUUCAGACAUGAUUUGACUUGCUACAGUACAAAUUGUCUCCUCCCAAAACACAAACAAACUUUAUUUAAUUUUCAAAUUCUUCUCCCAAAACAUAUUUCCCCAAAAUAAAAUGGAAAUUGAAGCCCGAAAGCUUACCAAACACAGCCUUAUCUAUCUCGUUCACAACAACUUGCAAUAAAGACUAAUUCGAAUUGAAACGAUCGUCACUCCGCGCCAUCG
rnacentral:lncRNA from 1 species